ACAACAAAAGAUGAAAAAGGGAAGUCAUUACUAGAUGUUCCAUCAUCAGAAGCUACGGAGGAGAGAUGGUUAGGUAACAGGAAAAGGAGCAGACUCAAAAGCUGUCUGCCCUUCACCCCAAAUCUCUUUGAAUAUAAGACACUUCGAAGAUUAAGCUUUUGUAACAUUAGCCCCCUGCAGCUUUAAAUCAUUAAAAUUCCACAGCUGUGCUAAAUAUUAUACAAGAGACACAAAAACGAGUAACACAUGCAAUAGGAGGAGAGGCAGGCGACGUGGAGAAAGACACCAACGUUAAGUCACCAUUUUUCUAGGGAUAAAACCGUGAGUUAGGCACACUCAGGAUUUCACUCACUGCCUCCAGGAUGCGACGUGCCCACACCACUCCCGUCAGAAGAUGAAAGAAGUGACUCUCAGAGAAGAGGAAGUCACGGGCCUCAGCCAGCGAGGUCUCCAACCUGGGAGCUGGAGAAGAGACUCAAGUGAGGGAAGAUCAGCCUCCACAGCAGAGAUGGAGAGGAGGGGAGGCGGGCCUGCGAGGAUGCGGGCGGUCAGCUGCUGAGCGACGGGCGGCUCUGCAUGGACUUCUGAUUCUGGCCCCCAAAAGAAAAGCUCAUGCCCAUCGUGUGUGUCACAGUUUACGAGGCUCACAGGGAGGUCUCAGUGAGGAACCAAGAAGGGUACGGGGAAAACGAUUUUUCUUGCCAUUCAUCCUAUCGAGAUGAUUGCCUCAAGCCAACUUGAGCUCCAUCUUCUCAUUUCCAAUAUCACAGAGAG